rnacentral:rRNA from 1 species
AUUGAACGCUGGCGGAAUGCUUUACACAUGCAAGUCGAACGGCAGCACGGACUUCGGUCUGGUGGCGAGUGGCGAACGGGUGAGUAAUGUAUCGGAACGUGCCCAGUCGUGGGGGAUAACGUAGUGAAAAUUACGCUAAUACCGCAUACGAUCUAUGGAUGAAAGCGGGGGAUCGGAAGACCUCGCGCGAUGGGAGCGGCCGAUAUCAGAUUAGGUAGUUGGUGGGGUAAAGGCCCACCAAGCCAACGAUCUGUAGCUGGUCUGAGAGGACGACCAGCCACACUGGAACUGAGACACGGUCCAGACUCCUACGGGAGGCAGCAGUGGGGAAUUUUGGACAAUGGGCGAAAGCCUGAUCCAGCCAUUCCGCGUGCAGGAUGAAGGCCCUCGGGUUGUAAACUGCUUUUGUACGGAACGAAAAGGUUUCUACUAAUACUAGGAGCUCAUGACGGUACUGUAAGAAUAAGCACCGGCUAACUACGUGCCAGCAGCCGCCGUAA